GAGUUUGAUCUUGGCUCAGAUUGAACGCUGGCGGCAUGCCUUACACAUGCAAGUCGAACGGCAGCACGGGAGCUUGCUCCUGGUGGCGAGUGGCGAACGGGUGAGUAAUGCACCGGAACGUAUCCUGGAGUGGGGGAUAACGUAGCGAAAGUUACGCUAAUACCGCAUAUUCUGUGAGCAGGAAAGCGGGGGACCUUCGGGCCUCGCGCUCUUGGAGCGGCCGAUGUCGGAUUAGCUAGUUGGUGAGGUAAAGGCUCACCAAGGCGACGAUCCGUAGCAGGUCUGAGAGGAUGAUCUGCCACACUGGAACUGAGACACGGUCCAGACUCCUACGGGAGGCAGCAGUGGGGAAUUUUGGACAAUGGGGGCAACCCUGAUCCAGCCAUGCCGCGUGAGUGAAGAAGGGCC
rnacentral:rRNA from 1 species